rnacentral:rRNA from 1 species
UCGAGAAUCUUCCGCAAUGGGCGCAAGCCUGACGGAGCGAUGCCGCGUGAGGGAUGAAGGCCUUCGGGUUGUAAACCUCUGUCAGAGGGGACAAAGACUGUGAUGGUACCCUCAGAGGAAGCCACGGCUAACUACGUGCCAGCAGCCGCGGUAAUACGUAGGUGGCGAGCGUUAUUCGGAUUCACUGGGCGUAAAGGGUCCGUAGGGGGUCUGCCAAGUCUGAUGUGAAAGCCCGCGGCUCAACUGCGGAACGGCAUUGGAUACUGGCGGGCUGGAGUCUGCGAAGGGUGAGCGGAAUUCCUGGGGUAGCGGUGGAAUGCGUAGAUAUCAGGAAGAACACCGAUGGCGAAGGCGGCUCACUGGCGCAGUACUGACCCUGAGGGACGAAAGCGUGGGGAGCAAACA